rnacentral:rRNA from 1 species
CCUACGUGGGGCUGCAGUGGGGAAUAUUGGACAAUGGGGGCAACCCUGAUCCAGCCAUGCCGCGUGUGUGAAGAAGGCCCUCGGGUUGUAAAGCACUUUCAGUGAGGAAGAACGCCUGGUGGUUAAUACCCAUCAGGAAAGACAUCACUCACAGAAGAAGCACCGGCUAACUCCGUGCCAGCAGCCGCGGUAAUACGGAGGGUGCGAGCGUUAAUCGGAAUUACUGGGCGUAAAGCGCGCGUAGGUGGCUUGAUAAGCCGGUUGUGAAAGCCCCGGGCUCAACCUGGGAACGGCAUCCGGAACUGUCAAGCUAGAGUGCAGGAGAGGAAGGUAGAAUUCCCGGUGUAGCGGUGAAAUGCGUAGAGAUCGGGAGGAAUACCAGUGGCGAAGGCGGCCUUCUGGACUGACACUGACACUGAGGUGCGAAAGCGUGGGUAGCAAACAGGAUUAGAUACCCCUGUAGUC